CAACAUGCAAACAAACAUCUACAUGCACACAUACACACAUACACACAUACAUACAAACUUUAUUCACACAUACACAUUAGCGAAUGCUUUUUACAUUUAUGUUUCUUUAAUUAUUUUCCAAUUUCUCCUUU
rnacentral:ribozyme from 1 species